GACGAACUCUGGCGGCGUGCUUAACACAUGCAAGUCGAACGGAAAGGCCCUGCUUUUGUGGGGUGCUCGAUUGGCGAACGGGUGAGUAACACGUGAGUAACCUGCCCUUGACUUUGGGAUAACUUCAGGAAACUGGGGCUAAUACCGGAUAGGAGCUCCUGCUGCAUGGUGGUGGUUGGAAAGUUUCGGCGGUUGGGGAUGGACUCGCGGCUUAUCAGCUUGUUGGUGGGGUAGUGGCUUACCAAGGCUUUGACGGGUAGCCGGCCUGAGAGGGUGACCGGCCACAUUGGGACUGAGGUACGGCCCAGACUGCUACGGGAGGCAGCAGUGGGGAAUAUUGCACAAUGGGCGGAAGCCUGAUGCAGCAACGCCGCGUGCGGGAUGACGGUCUUCGGGUUGUAAACCGCUUUCGCAUGUGACGAAGCGUGAGUGACGGUAAUGGGUAAAGAAGCGCCGGCUAACUACGUGC
rnacentral:rRNA from 1 species